GCGUUUACAUUUGAAACGGUGUAUUGUAUUAAUUGUAAUUAGUAUAAAUGAUUAAUUCUACAAACUACGCACAACUUUAAUAUACUUAGAAAUUUCUGUUACGUGACAUAGAAAAUAAAAUGACACACCAAAAGCUUUCAAUAUUUAUGGAAUUUAUGUUAAUUGUUACAAUAGCUUUUUUCGCUGCUAUCAAUGCUGAAGAUAAUGUUGCAAUUACUUAUAAUUUGCCAAACAAUAUAGUACCGCAUUAUGACGUCAAAUUAAUAUUUGAUUUCGAUGAAAAGAUUUUAGUGGGCGAUUGCAAUAUUACUAUUUUUAUUGAAAGUCUAACAACAAAUUUAACUAUACCUUCAGGGAUUUUUUCCAUACUUAAUGUUGUUUUAAUUGACCAUUUUUAUGAAAGAAGAAUUUAUAUUUCAAAGUAUUCGAUCAUCAAUAAACCGCAUGUGCUUAUUAUUGAUUUUACUAACGUAAAAUCGCCAAAAAUGUAUCCACAGUUUUUAAUACCUGGGAAAUAUACUAUAAAAAUAACAUAUGUACAUCAUAUGAAUGAUAACACAAAUAACUUCUCUCAAAUUUUAUUUCAGAACCAAGAUGAAAUGUUGACUGCAACAAGAAAUAAUAAUAAUGAUAAUACGAUGCAUGAAAUAAUGAUAGCUCGACAAUUAUUCCCAUGUUGGGAUGAGCCAAAACUGAAAGCCACCUUCAAAAUUUCUAUCAAGCUUCAUAGAAAUACACUGCUCUAUCAAAUGCACCAAUACAAAAACUAGAAAUGGAUGAAAAUGACAUGAUAUUGACACACUUUAAAAAUUCAUCUUUUAUACCCAUUCAUCAUUUAAAAGUUAUAAUAUCCACGUUCACUGCGAUUUCUACAUAUGCAAACGUCACAUUUUGGUGUAACACAAGAAAUAACAUGACACAAUAUUUACUAUUUGCGACGUUUGUUGCCGAACGAGCCUUGUAUUUUUUCAAAAACCAAAUUACGAUAAAAAUACCAGAAAUGAAUUAUAUUGUAUUUUCGGAUAUUAGAUACAGCAGCUUUGAAGCACGGAAAUUCAUUCUUCAAAGGAAAGAAUAUGUUACUUACAACGAACAAUUGCAUCCUUGUAGGCGUAAAAUAGAAGUGGCACACUUAAUAAUUCGUCAGAUGGCAUUUGUUUGUUUUGGCGAUGCAUUUUUAUGGACAAAAAAAUGGUUUUGCUACAUUUUUUGAACUGUAUAUUUUGAAUGAGAUUAUUCCAGAAUAUCGCCCAAUGGAUUUAUUUGCGUGGAAAGACAACAGGAACUUUUCCGGCUCCAUACUUUUUCUAAUAUGUAUUCUUUUAGAUUAAACAUUCAUGAAAUUCAUACACUUAGGUUUCCGCCACAUUAUUCAAAAUUAUUAGUUAUAUGGCGCAUGUUAUAUCAUAUAAUGACUCGUAAGAUAUUUUGGUUUGGUAUCAACACGUAUGUAAACAUGCAGAAUAAUCUGACAGAUGCGACAGAUACUGAUGGUAUAUUUAAUAUCACAUCAUUUUCGGCUGCUAUGCACAGGGCUCUAAAUGUAACGAAUAGUACACUCGAUAUAAUAAAUUUUUACAAUACUUGGUUAACAGAAGCACAUUAUCCCAUACUGUACGUGGCAAGAAAUUAUAUCAGUAACGUAACAAUAAUCUCGUAUACUUAUUAUCAUCGUGCAUCGCAUGACAAUAAACCAUUUUCAAUAUAUGUGACAUAUACGACGGAAUCAAUCAUGAACUUUGAGACAUUAAAUGCCAAAGAAUUCGUCUGGCUGACUCCAAUUACACCGGAUUAUUUGGUAUUGCCUGCGAUUGACAAUAAGGAUUGGAUUAUAGUCAAUUUACAACAAACUGGAUACUAUCGCGUCAAUUAUGAUGAGGAUAACUGGAAAAAACUUGCAAACUAUUUAUAUAAAAAUCAUGCCAAUAUACAUGUUCUCAAUCGAGCCCAAAUCAUUGAUGAUGCAUUUUAUUUUGUUCAGCAAAGAGAACUCAAUCCUACCAUAUUUUGGAGUGUUAUAAGAUACCUAUAUAAUGAUACAGACUAUGUAGCAUGGUAUCCUAUGAUUAAAGCUAUUGAAUAUAUGACGUGUGUUUGGGCACUUCCAGAUGAUAUAAUUCACAAUAUUAAUAACAUAUUCCGCAAUCUGCUGCUAAAUUUGAGAUACCAUGACGAAAUAAACGAAAGCGAGUUAACUAAACGUUUAAGAGAAGAAGUGAUGAAAUGGGCAUGUGCUUUCAAUGCACCGGAAUGUAGAAUAAUAGCCACAUUACAAUUAAAAAAACAUUUUGAAAGUACAAAUACAUAUUCUGUACAAGACAAACUUGGACAGAAUUGGAAGGAACGGUUAUACUGUAAAGGCUUAAUGUCAGCAGACAUGAAUACUUGGGUCAUGGUAUUUCAGCAAUGGAAUGCAACAUUUGAUAAUACAAUUUUAGAUUACUUAACUUGCUCUACAAAUCCUGAUAUUAUUAAAUUCUAUUUGCAAUUAGUAAAAAAUGAUGUUUUUUAUUUAAGUGUAACAAACAGUAAAAUAAAUGUUAAUAUUAUUCUCCUUAUUAUUGCGAAACAUGCAAGAAAGGAUACAGUACUCAAUUAUAUAUUCAAUCAUUUAGAAUUCUUCGACUUAAGUGGAAAAAGGCAUAUUGAUGAAAUUGCCAUAUUAAUUGUUAUCAUAACGCACGAGCAUGAUGUUGAACAAUUCACAAAGAUGCUUUAAAUGAAAAUUACCAUGGCAUUCCGACAAGUUCUGUUAAAUGUCGAAUUAAUAUUCAUUGUGAUAAUUAUACUAUCUAUUGCAAAAUUUACAAAAAGUGAUACUAAAACUAAUUACAAUAUUUUGAAUGACACUGAUAUAAUACCAUUGAAUUAUAAUGUUAAAAUAAAAUUUGACGUAUACAGAAAUAUUAUUUUUGGUAAAUGUUAUACCACAAUAAAAGUUUGUCGACCAACGAAAAAUAUUACUAUCAUGGGCUCAGAGACUUUUGCUAUAGUUAAAAUUCAUUUAUUUAACAACGAUACUAAUCAAACUAUAGACAUCUCAAAAUAUUCUUUUAUCGACAAAACGUACAUUCAUCUUGAUUUCACCCAGUCUUCAAUAGAUUUUUUAUCUCCUGAUUAAACAAGGAUAGUAUGAUAAUAAGAGCACGACAACUAUUUCCAUGUCUGAACGAGACGGUAUUUAAAUCAACCUUUCACAUUUACAUUAAGCAUCAUAAAAACUACACAAUUUUAUCGAUUCUGCCGAUAUCCGAAAAAACUGACGAUUCGAAUAAUAUGCUGUGGACUCUGUUUGACAAAUCACUUUCAAUGUCCGUUGAACGUUUAACAUUUGUGAUGACAACAUUAAAUUAUGAUUUAAAUGAUUUUCCUCGUGAUGCAAAUCUCAAAUUUUGGCAUAGAAAAAAGAUAACAGACCAGUUGCAAUAUGCAAAAAUCUAUGCUUCUAAAGUUCUGAGAUACUUGACAGAAAAAAAUGAAAAAAAAUUACCAGAACUAAAUUACAUUAUAAUUAGAGACUUUCAGUUCAAUUACGGAAAGAUAAAGGGAUUUAUCUAUUAAGAGAAGAAGAUGUUGUUUAUAAUGAGACAUUAGAUCAUGUUGUCCGCAAAAUGGAAAUAGCAAACUUAAUAGCACAUGAAACGAUAUCUUAUUGGUAUGAUGAUGUGUUUCUAUGGGCAAAAGACGGAUUUAUUGCAUUUCUUGCAGCACAUACUUUGCAUCAGACUUACUUGUAUCACAUGAAUUUAUUUGUCGUCCAAACACUACAGGAGUCUUUACGACUUAAUAAUUUUUUUUAUCCAUCACACUUCGCAUAUGACUCUAUAGUUCAUCCAUAUAGAUCAUCUCAUCAUUACAUAAAAUCAUCCGUUAUAUGGCGCAUGUUAUAUAAUAUAAUAUCUGAUGAUGUGUUUUGGACAGCUAUCAACAGAUAUGUAAACACACUAGAUAGUCGAACAACCACGACAGAUACUAUGAAUUUAUCUGGCGAGUCAUUUUGGACCGUUCUGGAAAGUGCUCUAAAUGUAACGAAUAACACAUCUAAUAUAAAAGAUUUGAUCUAUAAUUGGUCACUGGAAGGAUAUUAUCCUACACUGUACGUGACACAAAAUAAUUCUAUGACAUUAAUCACAUAUAGUAAUUAUGAAUUUACAUUAAUUUUUGGCAUGAAGCAAUAUCCAGUUUAUGUGACAUAUACAUCAAAAUCACUUUUAUAUUUUGAGUCAUUACAUUACUAUUGGCUAUUUCCAUUACAACCGUACUGUUAUUUACAUGACAUUGACAGUAAUGAUUGGAUUAUAGUCAAUUUACAACAAAUUGGGUACUAUCGCGUCAAUUAUGAUGAGGAUAACUGGCAAAAACUAAAGCAUUAUUUGUAUUUUGUAAAUCAUACCCACAUUUCUCUUUAUAAUCGAGCUCAAAUCGUUGAUGACGCCUUUCAUUUUAUGAUCAUAAGACAACUCAAUUUCGAUUUGUUUUGGGAUGUUACAAGCUUUUUAUUAAGAGAUACGGACUAUGGAGUAUGGUAUCCUAUGAUUAAAGCUGUUGAAUAUAUGGCGUGUAUGUGGGCAUUUAAAAGUGAUAUAAGUGCAAAG
rnacentral:misc_RNA from 1 species